AGAAGAUAAAUAGAACGCAGUUUAGUUUUACCUUAUUUGCCCUAUUACCACAAGCUGAGCUGUUAUAACACGUUACACCCUCCUUCACACAUACUCAAGGUCAACACACACAGACACUGGAACAUCCUGUUCUCUACAUAACAGCGAGCGGCCUAACCACAAAGCGCCAUUGAGGGGUUGCUGAGUCUGAUACACUAUCUCGUGACAAACACCAGCUGCAGAGGCACCCCAACCCUGAGAAAGAGGAACACACACACGCACACACCUAAUCUCCUUUUUAGCUGAACAUUGUGUGACCAAGGACAGGUACGACGAGACUCUAUGAUGACGGAUGGUCCAACUGAGCCAAUACAAGAAGACUACACUCCAGCCUGAACCAAUCCGAAGACCCGAUCUUCUAGAAUCAACCUACUUUCUGUUCUGUAUAUAAUACAUGUGCACACUGUUAGCGGGGCUUCUUUCUGGAGGUUCCUUAUGAGCUGAAUGAACGGGCCCGUAUACGCUGUACCAGAUAUCUUCACUCUGAAUAAACUGUCGCUUGUCAUACAAUCUACCGCUUUGUCCGAAUCGAUCCUUGACCGGCUCACUCACCUGCACAUCCCAGUUAUCAACAGAAUCUUGGUAGCAGAGGAUGGUUUACUAACGACCCAGUCCUGAGUGGUUGAUGUGGGUGUGAGGGGGCGAGUUGGUGAAAGGACGAUUCGAGGAGGACGAGUGUCAAUUCGGGGGUGGACAACAAUUCUGCUCAACUCGGGAAACUGAUCUCUGGUCGACCACAAAAUAAGCUCUCUCCAAACAGAUACACAGAGUCCAAGAGGGGGAGCUGACGGGAGAUCCAGAACAACCAAGGGUAAAGGUCGGAGAUUGGGUAAGGAUCAAGGUCCACAAGAGAAAGUGGCAGAAUCCCAGGUGGACUGGACCGUACGAAGUGAAGGAGGUUACUUCACACUCAGUCCAGGUCAAAGGUAAAUCAGGGGCGCCUUGGCACCACUUGACUCAUUGCACCCCAGCUUCGAUUCCCAACAGAACACUGACAGAGGUCAGGGUCGACUUGAGCGACUUAAAUUCGGCUCCAAUACAACCCGAUUAGCAGGUGACGAUGUGGACCAGACUCCCAUCGGCACCGGCUAAUGGGCCUCCUAGGGAUAGGGGUUAUCCCUGGACUAGACUGGGCAUAUCUGGCCCCGGUUUAUUUGUGUGUUUGUAAAUGCAUAUGUCUACUGAAUGAUAAAUUGAACGAAUGUUUAGACAAUGUUUUAGAUGUGUUGACUAUAUUGAGUGAAUGUUCAAACGAUGUUUUAGAUGUGCUCUGGCGUAAAUGAAGAUUUGUGAGACUCAAAUCGUGUGCAUGAAAUACGCUUGAUAUUCAGUCGGGGACUAAUAUCGGUAUGAAUGAGGUCGGGGACCAAGCGAGUGUGGUACAUUAGGUAUUUCAGUUGGAGCUGGUACCGGUGAGAAUGUUGAAAAAGUCGCAGGCUUGCUGAUGAGAGUUAUAUCAUAGAAUAUUGAGGGGGUGUGCAUGACUGUUGGAAAA